AAGAUCCACCUGCCUCUGCCUCCUGAGUGCUGGGAUUAAAGGCGUGCGCCACCACCGCCCGGCCAAUAUUUCAUUUUCUAUCACAGGCGAACUCCCUCUUUCCUAGAUCCUAAAUAGCUGAGCAAUGGACACAUCUGAAUUCCGAGAGAAUUCUGGAGAACUUUGGAAUACACAGCUCUUCUUGAUGGGGGCAGGAACUUUAUUCCAAGUCACUUAAGGUUUUCAGGAAGCCAUCACGGCAAUUCCACUUCCUCCUCUGGGAAAACUGAGGCUCCGCGGUGUGCUCGCUGCCACCUCAAGGUGGAGUGUUUCUGCCUGAAGUGAUUACAUUAUUCUUUCCUGCGAUGCAGUGUGUGCCUUCUGUCCCUGCCGCUGCCUGGGGCCCAAAGGCUUCUGGGUAAAGAAGUGGGCGGGCAUUGCACAAGGCAGCAACGGUCUCUGGGUGGAGCAGUUGACAAUCGCAGUUGGUGGGCGGUGCUACUGCUUGGGCGUGGAGGAUUGUGGGCUCUGGGAUGUUAUUUCAGCCUUGCUAUUUUGGGAGAUUCUGGAAAGUUCAGGACAAGGGAGGGUGGCUCUUGUUGGUCAUGACCCAUGGAAGUAUCUUAUAGGCUGCCUCUGCUUCUUGGACCACGGCAAUGUGUGUGAACAGCUGCUGUCUACUGUACUCUGCUGCCACCACGACCUUGUGCUCAAGCUCACAUGGCCAAGGAAGGAUUAAACUUUUCAUCUAUAAUUUAGAAGCAAAGCUCAUCACAAAAUGAAGCCAGUAAAACACGUAUCACUCGCUAGCAAUAAACUAGAAGAUGUUACAGAAAUACCCAAUGAAAAAGGACUAAACGAUUCAUGGCUGUCAUCUAAACCAAAGAAAAACACUGAACAAAAUCACUUGAGGAGAAGAUUGGAGCAGUUGUCCUAACAUCUGGACCCACUGGAGAACUCACUGCAUGAUGCACUUUGCCCAUGAUCUCUAGGAAGACAACGGAACAAACAAUAAAAGUGAAAUGCCUGGAAGAUGACCAGCUCCAGAAGAUGGGGAGACACCACAUGGUUCCCAUGCUGUGGGAGUUCCCACAGUGGUACCAGGUCUGGUGAUUGUCCAGCAGGAUAUACAGGAUUCAGCUCACAGUUUAGACCUGGAUAAGAUUUAUUACAGAGGAAUGGAAGGUGGUUUAUCUGAGGAAAGGAGAGCCAAGCCUACAAGAUCUCACAGAACAUGCUUAAUUUCUCUGACAGUGAUUUUUGAAAACUUUUGUGAUAUGUGAACCUGUGAAGAACAUUAUAAAGAAAUGCAGUACUCAGAGUUUAUUGGAAAUCUGUCUCAUAGAUGUCCUGUUCAUAAUUUCUAUGGUGGAAGAAACUAUAGAUUUAGCAGUGAAAAUGGAGACAAAUCAUGAAGCUUUGUUUCUUCAUCUGGAGAGUCUGCCAGAAAGUGUAUGGUAAAGAAGACUCUGCUUUGCUUGACACAUGCUAUGAGGAGCCCCACAAUCAAUAGUUGCUUCCCAGAGGAACCCUGAAGAGGGAAGUUUUGAGUGAUUUACAGAACCGAGGCAUCAUCUACUGCUACUCAUAGAUGUUCUCAUAGCUCUACUCCUCAGCUCCAUGGUACUGCAGAUGGUUGCUGUCUCUGCUGUCCAUGUCCACAGGAAGCCGAAGAUCUGACUUCUUGUUUGGUUCUAUCGACAAUCCACCGAGCCUGUGUGGGUCUGAGUCAGGUGAUACUUCACAAAUCAUGGGAAUCUGAAAAUGGAGAUUUGCACAAAGAAAUGAAAUGUGUUCAAUUGUCUUUCACUCUGGGACCAACAACUACAAGCUCCAAGGCCUGAGCCAGCCUGCAUCAUCUGUAGCCUCUUUUGUCUUUGGUGGGCUACUCUGACUGGGAAGAGUACUUCAUGCAGAAGAUCAUCUCCCUUUGCCCAGAAUCAUGAAGAUGGACAGAGGAGCAAUCAGCCCUUCUCCACCAUCCUUGCUUCACCUCCAGUCUCCAUUUUCUGUUAUCUGUCACAUUCCUCAGAAAGAAGAUGCUGUGGGAAUUGUCUUCUCAGGUGAUAGGGAGACAAGACAUAGUAACUAUAAAAUACAGCAGUACCACCAGGCCCCAGAUGUCCACAUCAAGUCCAUCAUACACCAUUCCUAAAGAGCUCAGGUGUACAACAUGCAAUGGUACCACAGAAGGCCUUCAACUUCUCCCCAGGGAUCACUGUUUCUGUCAGCUACAAUUGAUCAUGGAAGGAAACUUCCUUUUCGGAAAUGAUGGUGUGUGACAGAGACUCAACCACUGAUGAAGAUCCUGAGAAUGAGUGACUAUUACUGUGGCAUAGUGGCUGAAUACUUAAUCAGAAGCACACAUCAAUAUCACCCUCUCCAAGGCUCAGGGAACAUUGCAGAAGAGGGGACGGAAAGAUUGUGAGAGCCAGAGGAAGGGGUGGAAUAUUGUGUACCAUUUGUUUGUUUGUUGUUUUUCCCAGAAUUGAAAUGUUUCCUCUAGAAGGGAGGUGAGAGGCUCACCCAACUCAAGAAAUAAACAACUCACAAAUCUGAGGAAGUUCCUGAAGCUAAAAAGAUUCACAAGAUCCCCUCCCCAAGGUUAUAGAUAUAAGAAACAACUGCUGGGGGAGAGAUUCUCCUAAAUAUGGAGGUUUGCUGUUUGCAAACCCUGUAGAGAGUUAUCACCUAUGAGGCAUGGUCAUUUCAGUGCUGUAGUUGCUUGAGUCACUCAUACUCUUGCAAGUAAACCCAUAUUUUUGUAAAUAAAUCUAAUAAACACAUUGGUUUAUCA